rnacentral:rRNA from 1 species
CUACGGGCGGCUCCAGUGAGGAAUUUUGCGCAAUAGGGGAAACCCUGACGCAGCAACGCCGCGUGAGUGAAGAAGGCCCUCGGGUCGUAAAGCUCUGUCAAGUGGGAAAAAAGCUUGCUGGUAAAUAGCCAGCAAGACUGAUGGUACCAUUGAAGGAAGCACCGGCUAACUCCGUGCCAGCAGCCGCGGUAAUACGGAGGGUGCAAGCGUUGUUCGGAAUUACUGGGCGUAAAGGGCGUGUAGGCGGUGUGGUAAGUCAGAUGUGAAAGCCCUGGGCUUAACCCAGGAAGUGCAUUUGAAACUGCCAUGCUUGAGUAUGGGAGAGGAGAGUGGAAUUCCCAGUGUAGAGGUGAAAUUCGUAGAUAUUGGGAGGAACACCCGUGGCGAAGGCGACUCUCUGGACCAAUACUGACGCUGAGGCGCGAAAGCGUGGGGAGCAAACAGGAUUAGAUACCCUGGUAGUC